rnacentral:rRNA from 1 species
AUUGAACGCUGGCGGCAGGCCUAACACAUGCAAGUCGAACGAGUGGCGGACGGGUGAGUAAUGUCUGGGAAACUGCCCGAUGGAGGGGGAUAACUACUGGAAACAGUAGCUAAUACCGCAUACCAUCGGAUGUGCCCAGAUGGGAUUAGCUAGUAGGUGGGGUAACGGCUCACCUAGGCGACGAUCCCUAGCUGGUCUGAGAGGAUGACCAGGCACACUGGGACUGAGGCACGGACCAGACUCGUACGGGGGGCAGCAGUAGGGAAGCUUCGGCAAGGGACGAAAGUCUGACAGGGAAACGCCGCGUGCGGGAUGACGGCCUUCGGGUUGUAAACGGCUUUCAGCCAUGACGCGGUAGUGGCAGAAGAAGCACCGGCUAACUACGUGCCAGCCGCCGCGGUAAUAC